CUUGGUACACAAGGAUGGACGGAGAAGUGGUUUCUGACGCACGGGAACUCAAAAUUGAAAAAUGUUGGCUUACCCUGUCGCUCUGACUUGGCAGGUGCCACAAGUUCAACCCGGUGACCUCACAAUGUUUACUCUAUCCGCUGAACCUAAUUCUUUGUGCAGUCUGGGUGUUGUAGACAAAAGCACCGAACUGCUGUCGGAUGCACCAGACCCAUCACAUCGGAUACAUUAUUUAGCUACGUUGAAAACUUCAAAUAUAUCCUUGGCUCAACAGCCAAGUUAAUGACUACGAAUAUUGUAGGAAACAAUUGGAAGGAACGUCUUACCUUCCUACGAAAGAUGGAGAAGAGAAUUUAUUUCCGCGGUUUCCAUUCCCAGUCUACUAUACAAAUUAUGUGGAUGCCCUUAAGAUGUUCGAUG